UUCCACCAUCAUGGACCCUAACCUUCUGAAACCAUAAGGCCAAUUAAAUACUUUCCUUUUCAGGUUGACUUGGCCAUGAUGUUCAUUACAGUGAUACAAACCCCAACUAAUAAGAUGAGGAAACUAGGAAAUGGUCUUCUAAACCUACCAGAGAGUCUAUGGGAGAUGGCUCCUGGCGCACUGACAGAAACAGAGACAAGUAAGUGAGAGUGUGCGAAAGAUCUGUGGAGAACCAGAGAUGAGAAGGAGCCUGCAAGCUCUUCAUGUUUAUAACACUGAGAGGUAAGUAGGCAAGCCUAGAGCACUGGUGAACGGUACGUCGUUUUCACUGUUACUUUGGUCACAGGGUCCCCUUUUGUGGAAGUGACAUUUUGAUGAGAAAAAAAUUAAAGUAUAAUAAGGGCAAGGGUAAAGCAUGUCGUGGUGUGGUCAGUUUUAUCUUGGAAAUGCCCUGUAGAGUUUUGGAACAUUCUGUG
rnacentral:lncRNA from 1 species